rnacentral:rRNA from 1 species
GAUGAACGCUGACAGAAUGCUUAACACAUGCAAGUCAACUGUGGCGGACGGGUGAGUAACGCGUAAAGAACUUGCCUCACAGAUAGGGACACAAGUUGGAAACGAAUGCUAAUACCUGAGACUGUGAGAGAGCUUUGCGUCCCAUUAGCUAGUUGGAGAGGUAACGGCUAACCAAGGCGAGGAUGGAUAGCCGGCCUGAGAGGGUGAGCGGCCACAAGGGGACUGAGACACGGCCCUUACUCCUACGGGAGGCAGCAGUGGGGAAUAGUGGACAAUGGACCAAAGUCUGAUCCAGCAAUUCUGUGUGCACGAUGAAGUUUUCGGAAUGUAAAGUGCUUUCAGUUGGGAAGCGGUACCAACAGAAGAAGUGACGGCUAAAUACGUGCCAGCAGCCGCGGUAAUAC